UGGGGAAUAUUGGGCAAUGGGCGAAAGCCUGACCCAGCGACGCCGCGUGAGGGAAGAAGGUCUUCGGAUUGUAAACCUUUGUCAACAGGGAAGAAACAAAUGACGGUACCUGUGGAGGAAGCCACGGCUAACUACGUGCCAGCAGCCGCGGUAAUACGUAGGUGGCGAGCGUUAUCCGGAAUUACUGGGUGUAAAGGGUGUGUAGGCGGGACGGCAAGUCAGAUGUGAAAAUCAUGGGCUCAACCCAUGAAGUGCAUUUGAAACUGCUGUUCUUGAGAGUGGGAGAGGUAAAUGGAAUUCCCGGUGUAGCGGUGAAAUGCGUAGAUAUCGGGAGGAACAUCAGUGGCGAAGGCGAUUUACUGGACCACAACUGACGCUGAUACACGAAAGCGUGGGGAGCAAACAGG
rnacentral:rRNA from 1 species